rnacentral:rRNA from 1 species
GUAGGGUGCAAGCGUUAAUCGGAAUUACUGGGCGUAAAGCGUGCGCAGGCGGUCCGCUAAGACAGAUGUGAAAUCCCCGGGGCUUAACCUGGGAACUGCAUUUGUGACUGGCGGGCUAGAGUAUGGCAGAGGGGGGUAGAAUUCCACGUGUGGCAGUGAAAUGCGUAGAGAUGUGGAGGAAUACCGAUGGCGAAGGCAGCCCCCUGGGCCAAUACUGACGCUCAUGCACGAAAGCGUGGGGAGCAAACAGGAUUAGAUACCCUGGUAGUCCACGCCCUAAACGAUGUCAACUAGUUGUCGGGUCUUCAUUGACUUGGUAACGUAGCUAACGCGUGAAGUUGACCGCCUGGGGAGUACGGUCGCAAGAUUA